rnacentral:rRNA from 1 species
CGCGUAGGUGGUUUGAUAAGUUGGAUGUGAAAGCCCCGGGCUCAACCUGGGAAUUGCAUCCAAAACUGUCUGACUAGAGUACGGUAGAGGGUAGUGGAAUUUCCUGUGUAGCGGUGAAAUGCGUAGAUAUAGGAAGGAACACCAGUGGCGAAGGCGACUACCUGGACUGAUACUGACACUGAGGUGCGAAAGCGUGGGGAGCAAACA